CGCUCUUCAGAGGCAAGACGGCUGCCGCCGCUGCUCUCCAACUCAUCAAACCCUGCACAGGCAGGUGACAGGUUGACAUCUAAGGUCUCCUGCGCAUUAUCAGCACAGGGAUGGAGAAACAAAAACAAGAGCCUGUCCUCGGUUUCCUCUGGCGAUCAGGCCCCCCACUUAGUGUAUUUGACAAGCUGAGUUGGACACUCUGUAUCAGUGAGUGUCAGUUUGUCAAAUACCCCAAGUGAGGUGUCACUUCUCAACAGACAGAGGUUACUGCACAGACAGAAUGGCCGCAACGCUGCGUGGAAAAGCGUUGAAGAACUGCCAGCAUGACUAGUUGUUUGAUGACACAGAUGUAUUUCUAGGCUUCCACUUUCAGCCUAGAAAUAAGUUGAAUUUUUUUUCGCAAAGUUCAUCUGACUUGCAUGCAUUUAUUUUGUGAAAUUCUCUCAUUUAUAAACUUACAGCAGAGCAACUAGGUUUUGGAAGAGGCCCAAAAGAGAGUAAAAUAGAAAUGCACUGUAAAUUACUGCUGUGUGAUUGUGUCUCUGUAACAUCAAAGGCAACAAAUAGAAAGGAUUUUUUUUUUUUUUUUAAAUGUUGUUAUAGUUGUUUCUUUUUGUUCUUUUUUGUUGUUGUUGUUGUUGUUUUGCAGAGGCGUGGUUGCAUGUGUGCCUACAGCUAAAGUAACUUAUAGUGAGAAGAGAAGCGCCCAGUGCCUCCCUGAGCCACAUGGUAUUUCUGCUGAUCUUUUUCAUUUCAGUGUGCACAUAUAAAAAGUCAAGAUGCAUCAAAUUCCUGUAAUAAAAGUGAAUGAUCAGCAAGCGCA